UACGUAGGUGGCAAGCGUUGUCCGGAUUUACUGGGCGUAAAGGGCGCGUAGGCGGCGCGGUAAGUCACUUGUGAAAUCUCUGAGCUUAACUCAGAACGGCCAAGUGAUACUGCAGUGCUAGAGUGUGGAAGGGGCAAUCGGAAUUCUUGGUGUAGCGGUGAAAUGCGUAGAUAUCAAGAGGAACACCUGAGGUGAAGACGGGUUGCUGGGCCAACACUGACGCUGAGGCGCGAAAGCCAGGGGAGCAAACGGG
rnacentral:rRNA from 1 species